GACGAACGCUGGCGGCGGGCUUAACACAUGCAAGUCGAGCGGUAAGGCCCUUUCGGGGGGACACGAGCGGCGAACGGGGGAGUAACACGGGGGCAACCUGCCCUUUACUCUGGGACAAGUGGCGGAAACGGGGGCAACUAACGGUAAUGACUCACUCACCCAUGUGGGGAGGGGGAAAGCUCUUGGGUGGUGGUGGCUGGGCUUGCGGCCUAUCGGCAUGUGGGUGGGGGGGGGGUCUACGAAGGCUUCGGCGGGUAUCCGGCCUGAGAGGGGGACCGGCCACACUGCGACUGAGGCACGGCCCAGACGCCAACAGGAGGCAGCAGUGGGGAAUAUUGGACAGUGAGCGCACGCCUGUUCCGGCAACGCCGCGUGAGGGAUGACGGCCUUCGGGUUGUAAACCGCUUUCGCCUGCGACGAAGCGGGAGUGACGGUAGCAGGUAAAGAAGCACCGGCCAACUACGUG
rnacentral:rRNA from 1 species